AGCAUCGGGAAAUUCCUUUUUGAGUUGAAUUUACAGAUUACUUUGGUGUUUAAUAGGGAUUUGAUGGUUUAUAAUCUAUAUUGAUUUUACUGAAAUAAAAUUAGCAGGAGUGAUUUACUGCAGAACCACCUCCCAGAAUUCCAGGUCACGCAAGCGCAUUGGAAGUUCUUCGUACCAUAAUUAGUCAGCCCGCGGGCUGACUAAUAAAGCAGGUCUUGUGCGGUUACAGAGGACAUGACAGCAUCAAGAGUUUGUAGGAGAAUCAUGAUGAUGAUCAGUUGCAAUGUGAACUACCAAAUAACCAUGAAGUACAAGCAGAUCCAAUUAAUGUGGAACAAAUAAAGGAGAAUCAUGAUGAUGAUGAGCUGCUAUGUGAACUACCAAAUAACCAUGAAGUACAACCAGAUUCAAAGCAUAUGGAACAAAUAGAGGUGGAAUCAACUUCAGACGACAACUUUUCCAAACACCUUGUGAAAGUCAUCUGAAUGCCAGGAUUCUCAAGAGCAUGAAGAUAGUCCAUUACAUAGGAGGAAGACCUUGAUUAUGUAUCUUGAUGCCAUUGGUGAAAAGGCAGAAGUCUAACACUGACUGUGAAGAAAAUGACUUGACAGCUGAAGGGAACAUGAACAAUUUGAAUCAGAUUUCUGAUAUGGCUCUUAAAGCAGUGAACUAAAAAACAUUUUCUUACUAAGUUUAAGAUUUUGAUAUCAAAGUUUUUGGAAGGGGGAUAUAGGAAUCACCCUGUUUGUUUGUCCAUCUGUCUGUGGACAACACUUGGAUUAUACUGCUCUAGCUCUAGUUGGUUAAAAUAGAUAAUAUCUAAAAUCAAAUGUGUCAUACUUCUUGUUUAUUGUGCAUAAAUGUACUCUGAAGAACAUACUGUAUAAGUAGAAUUUUUAGCGAGGAUUUAAUUUUGGCAUUAUUAGAGAUGGUGCUGACAUCGCUAAAAUUGAAUAUUGCUAAAAAUUAAUGUCUUAUUAUUUGUAAUAGCUUCUUUAGUAAACAUUUUAAAAUCGCUAAAAUUACUUCUGGCUAAAAAUAAAAUACCAGACUUUGGUAGAAAUCGCUAAAUUUGCAUCUCGCUAAAAUUUCCACUUAUAUGAUAUAUUAUUAUUUCUAGCAAAAUAUUUCUGUAAAAUAUUUGACUGUACACUUAAGAAAAAAUUCAGUCUCAGAAUCAGGUACAAGAUAUGCUGUAAUGGUGCCUAGUUGUGUCGCCUGCAUAGCAAGGGGACUCCUAGGGAUCACUUCUCCAUUGUCUGUCAGUCUGACUAGCUGACCAUCAGUCUAUCUAUCUGUCACAAUUUGAUAUGUCAUUCCUGACUCCUGAGACACACAUUUUCAAUGGAAAACUCUUGUUUUACGUUUAUAUCUGUGAUACUUUUAGUGAGCAUUGAUAUUUGACCAGUUGAUUGGUCUUUGAUAGUAAAAUAAGAUAAAACUUGAAAUAUAAAGUUGCUGUAAACUACA